GAUGAACGCUAGCGGCAGGCUUAAUACAUGCAAGUCGAGGGGCAGCAUGACUGUAGCAAUACAGUUGAUGGCGACCGGCAAACGGGUGCGGAACACGUACAGAACCUUCCUUCGAGCGGGGAAUAGCCCAGAGAAAUUUGGAUUAAUACCCCAUAGUAUUACGGAGUGGCAUCACUUUGUAAUUAAAGAUUUAUCACUUGAAGAUGGCUGUGCGGCUGAUUAGGUAGUUGGCGGGGUAACGGCCCACCAAGCCUGCGAUCAGUAACUGGUGUGAGAGCACGACCAGUAACACGGGCACUGGGACACGGGCCCGACUCCUACGGGAGGCAGCAGUAAGGAAUAUUGGUCAAUGGACGAAAGUCUGAACCAGCCAUGCCGCGUGGAGGAUGAAGGUCCUCUGGAUUGUAAACUUCUUUUAUAUGGGACGAAAAAAGGCUUUUCUAAGUCGUCUGACGGUACCAUAUGAAUAAGCACCGGCUAACUCCGUGCCAGCCGCCGCGGUAAUAC
rnacentral:rRNA from 1 species